rnacentral:rRNA from 1 species
UACGUAGGGGGCAAGCGUUGUCCGGAAUCAUUGGGCGUAAAGCGCGCGUAGGCGGCCCGGUAAGUCCGCUGUAAAAGUCCAGGGCUCAACCCUGGAAAGCCGGUGGAUACUGUCGGGCUAGAGUCCGGAAGAGGCGAGUGGAAUUCCUGGUGUAGCGGUGAAAUGCGUAGAUAUCGAGAGGAACACCUGCGGCGAAGGCGGGUAGCUGGGCCGACACUGACGUGAUGCGCGAAAGCCAGGGGAGCGAACGGG